rnacentral:rRNA from 1 species
AGCAGCCGCGGUAAUUCCAGCUCCAAUAGCGUAUAUUAAANNUGCUGCAGUUAAAAAGCUCGUAGUUGAAUUUCGGGACCAUCAUGUCGGUCGUGCCUCGGUACGUACUGGCAUUGUUGGUUUCUCCCUUCUGACGAACCAUGAUGUCAUUAAUUUGGUGUUGUGGGGAAUCAGGACUGUUACUUUGAAAAAAUUAGAGUGUUUAAAGCAGGCUCACGCUUGAAUACAUUAGCAUGGAAUAAUGAAAUAGGACGUUUGAUUCUAUUUUGUUGGUUUCUAGGAUCGACGUAAUGAUUAAUAGGGAUAGUUGGGGGCAUUAGUAUUCAAUUGUCAGAGGUGAAAUUCUUGGAUUUAUUGAAGACUAACUACUGCGAAAGCAUUUGCCAAGGAUGUUUUCAUUAAUCAAGAACGAAAGUUAGGGGAUCGAAGACGAUCAGAUACCGUCGUA